UUAAAGGUUCUUUUAAGGACCACCAAAUCUUUCAAAAAGAGUCUA
rnacentral:ncRNA from 1 species